rnacentral:rRNA from 1 species
AUUGAACGCUGGCGGCAGGCCUAACACAUGCAAGUCGAACGGUAACAGGAAGAAGCUUGCUUCUUUGCUGACGAGUGGCGGACGGGUGAGUAAUGUCUGGGAAACUGCCUGAUGGAGGGGGAUAACUACUGGAAACGGUAGCUAAUACCGCAUAACGUCGCAAGACCAAAGAGGGGGACCUUCGGGCCUCUUGCCAUCGGAUGUGCCCAGAUGGGAUUAGCUAGUAGGUGGGGUAACGGCUCACCUAGGCGACGAUCCCUAGCGGGUCUGAGAGGAUGACCAGCCACACUGGAACUGAGACACGGUCCAGACUCCUACGGGAGGCAGCAGUGGGGAAUAUUGCACAAUGGGCGCAAGCCUGAUGCAGCCAUGCCGCGUGUAUGAAGAAGGCCUUCGGGUUGUAAAGUACUUUCAGCGGGGAGGAAGGGAGUAAAGUUAAUACCUUUGCUCAUUGACGUUACCCGCAGAAGAAGCACCGGCUAACUCCGU